rfam:Merops nubicus contig28681, whole genome shotgun sequence.
CUAAAGGCUCUUUUAAGAGCCACCACUUUUCACAAGAGGGCUGCA